GACAGAGGGUGCAAACGUUGUUCGGAAUUACUGGGCGUAAAGCGCGUGUAGGCGGCCAUCUAAGUCGGGCGUGAAAUCCCACGGCUCAACCGUGGAAGUGCACUCGAAACUGGAUGGCUAGAGUCCUGGAGAGGAAGGUGGAAUGCUUGGUGUAGAGGUGAAAUUCGUAGAUAUCAAGCGGAACACCGGUGGCGAAGGCGGCAUCCUGGACCAACACUGACGCUGAGGAGCGAAAGCCAGGGGAGCAAACGGG
rnacentral:rRNA from 1 species